GCCACCGCAUCCGCACUUCCAAAUUUCUGGAUAGUAGUCUUGAGGUUUCUGAACCUCAAAAUGAACUGGUUUCUUCGGCGGUACGGGCACCAGAACCGGAACGCAAGGAGUGCAUGUUUCGCACCUUCCUUCGCAGUUAGGUGGGGUUGAACCGAGCAAAAUCUGCAUUUUCCCAGUUAUAUUUUUUGCAGAAUCUCCUUUAGCCAUUUCCACUGCUUUUUUUAGGUUAUUCAUAGGGUUCGUGAUGUUUUCAUCAACAUUUAUGUCGCUGAAAAUCGUUGACGGAGAAAAGAAAAAAAUGAAGAUAAACAAGAAAAAUUUCUGGCUGAUGUUCAUUUUUGCAGUUGCGUCUGGG
rnacentral:lncRNA from 1 species